rnacentral:misc_RNA from 2 species
AGCAGCCGCGGUAAUUCCAGCUCCAAUAGCGUAUAUUAAAGUUGUUGCAGUUAAAAAGCUCGUAGUUGAACUUCGGGGUUCACCCAUUGGUCAGGCUUAAUUGUCUGUACUGGUGAGAUGAGUCUCUACCUUCUGAGGAACUUUCAUGCCAUUUAUUUGGUGUGAUGGGAAAUCAGGACUGUUACUUUGAAAAAAUUAGAGUGUUUAAAGCAGGCUAACGUCUGAAUACAUUAGCAUGGAAUAAUGAAAUAGGACGGAUUGAUUCUAUUUCGUUGGUUUCUAGGGUCACCGUAAUGAUUAAUAGGGAUAGUUGGGGGCAUUAGUAUUCAAUUGUCAGAGGUGAAAUUCUUGGAUUUAUUGAAGACUAACUACUGCGAAAGCAUUUGCCAAGGAUGUUUUCAUUAAUCAAGAACGAAAGUUAGGGGAUCGAAGACGAUCAGAUACCGUCGUAGUCUUAACCAUAAACUAUGCCGACUAGGGAUCGGACGAAGUUAAUUAAUAAUGACGCGUUCGGCACCUU